rnacentral:rRNA from 1 species
GAUGAACGCUGGCGGCGUGCCUAAUACAUGCAAGUCGAGCGAAUGGAUUAAGAGCUUGCUCUUAUGAAGUUAGCGGCGGACGGGUGAGUAACACGUGGGUGACCUGCCCAUAAGACUGGGAUAACUCCGGGAAACCGGGGCUAAUACCGGAUAACAUUUUGAACCGCAUGGUUCGAAAUUGAAAGGCGGCUUCGGCUGGCACUUAUGGAUGGACCCGCGUCGCAUUAGCUAGUUGGUGAGGUAACGGCUCACCAAGGCAACGAUGCGUAGCCGACCUGAGAGGGUGAUCGGCCACGAUGGGACUGAGACACGGCCCAGACCCCUACGGGAGGCAGCAGUAGGGAAUCUUCCGCAAUGGACGAAAGUCUGACGGAGCAACGCCGCGUGAGUGAUGAAGGCUUUCGGGUCGUAAAACUCUGUUGUUAGGGAAGAACAAGUGCUAGUUGAAUAAGCUGGCACCUUGACGGUACCUAACCAGAAAGCCACGGCUAACUACGUGCCAGCAGCCGCCGUAA